rnacentral:lncRNA from 1 species
UAGGCUAGAUAGACUCCUUCAGAUGCCUUAUGAGGGUAGUUGCCUAGAUGAGCUACCCAAAAAGGAAAUUGGACUUUAACUAUUCUUGAAAGAGAUGAUGUGGAAGGUUUUUUGAAGAUUGAGGCCAAAGAUCUUAGUGUAGAGAUGAGGUUACUCUACCAGAUGGUGUCUAGGAUUUUUUUUCCUAGAGGGAGAAGAUAUGACUUGAUGAC